rnacentral:lncRNA from 1 species
UCCACUUAAGUAGAUCUCUAUAAAUGCUCUCAUGCUACCUUUAUUUGCUUUAGUAUAUGUCUAGGUUUGGAAUAGUUUCAUUUAUCUCUUAAUUAAGCAUGGUGCUUAGGUUAAAAUGCCCUUCUAAAUCAAAUUAGACAUGGUGUCUAGGUUGAUUUUUGAGCCGAUAGUAUGCUAUAGUAGAUAUGGGAUUAUUUGUUGGACUAACCCCUGCAGGAAAACUUUCAAUAUCAACCUGGGAAGUCCUGAGAUAAACUCGCAUUGUAGAUGAAGAAAGUGACACAUGAAGUUUAACAAUUUGCACAAGAAAGACGUAGCUCAUAAGAGAUGAUUC